CUUGGGAUCUGACAAGCUUUAAAAAAACAAAAAACGUUUACUAUUUGGAACUUGAACCUAAUACAUAUUAUUAACCCGUUCAGGACGGAGCCAAAUGUACACGUUGUGAACGAAACAAAAUGUAAACAAAACCUGGCAUUUGCGCUACAUGUCUGUCCAACCGUCCAAAUUCACCUCUUUCAUAUUAAAUGCACCCACCCUUAUCAUAUAUCAUUUUAUUCAGG